GAUGAACGCUGGCGGCGUGCCUAAUACAUGCAAGUCGAGCGAACAGAUAAGGAGCUUGCUCCUUUGACGUUAGCGGCGGACGGGUGAGUAACACGUGGGUAACCUACCUAUAAGACUGGGAUAACUUCGGGAAACCGGAGCUAAUACCGGAUAACAUUUGGAACCGCAUGGUUCUAAAGUGAAAGAUGGUUUUGCUAUCACUUAUAGAUGGACCCGCGCCGUAUUAGCUAGUUGGUAAGGUAACGGCUUACCAAGGCAACGAUACGUAGCCGACCUGAGAGGGUGAUCGGCCACACGGGAACUGAGACACAGUCCAGACUCCUACGGGAGGCAGCAGUAGGGAAUCUUCCGCAAUGGGCGAAAGCCUGACGGAGCAACGCCGCGUGAGUGAUGAAGGGUUUCGGCUCGUAAAACUCUGUUAUUAGGGAAGAACAAAUGUGUAAGUAACUGUGCACGUCUUGACGGUACCUAAUCAGAAAGCCACGGCUAACUACGUG
rnacentral:rRNA from 1 species